rnacentral:rRNA from 1 species
AACGAACGCUGGCGGCAGGCCUAACACAUGCAAGUCGAGCGGACCUUUCGGGGUCAGCGGCGGACGGGAGAGUAACGCGUGGGAAUAUGCCCUUUUCUACGGGAUACUCCUGGGAAACUGGGGGUAAUACCGUAUACGCUCUGUGGGGGGAAGGUUUAUCGGGGAAGGAUUAGCCCGCGUUGGAUUAGGUAGUUGGUGGGGUAAUGGCCUACCAAGCCGACGAUCCAUAGCUGGUUUGAGAGGAUGAUCAGCCACACUGGGACUGAGACACGGCCCAGACUCCUACGGGAGGCAGCAGUGGGGAAUCGUAGACAAUGGGGGCAACCCUGAUCUAGCCAUGCCGCGUGAGUGAUGAAGGCCUUAGGGUUGUAAAGCUCUUUCAGCUGGGAAGAUAAUGACGGUACCAGCAGAAGAAGCCCCGGCUAACUCCGUG